rnacentral:rRNA from 1 species
UGGGGAAUUUUGGACAAUGGGCGCAAGCCUGAUCCAGCCAUACCGCGUGAGUGAAGAAGGCCUUCGGGUUGUAAAGCUCUUUCAGACGGAAAGAAACGGUUACGGCUAAUACCCGUGACUAAUGACGGUACCGUAAGAAGAAGCACCGGCUAACUACGUGCCAGCAGCCGCGGUAAUACGUAGGGUGCGAGCGUUAAUCGGAAUUACUGGGCGUAAAGCGUGCGCAGGCGGUUUGGUAAGACAGAUGUGAAAUCCCCGGGCUUAACCUGGGAACUGCAUUUGUGACUGCCAGACUAGAGUGUAGCAGAGGGGGGUAGAAUUCCACGUGUAGCAGUGAAAUGCGUAGAUAUGUGGAGGAAUACCGAUGGCGAAGGCAGCCCCCUGGGCUAACACUGACGCUCAUGCACGAAAGCGUGGGGAGCAAACAGGAUUAGAUACCCGCGUAGUCCCUGAGCGGGCUGGCAAGGCGCAU